rnacentral:rRNA from 1 species
AGUUGCAGGGUAUAGACCCGAAACCCGGUGAUCUAGCCAUGGGCAGGUUGAAGGUUGGGUAACACUAACUGGAGGACCGAACCGACUAAUGUUGAAAAAUUAGCGGAUGACUUGUGGCUGGGGGUGAAAGGCCAAUCAAACCGGGAGAUAGCUGGUUCUCCCCGAAAGCUAUUUAGGUAGCGCCUCGUGAACUCAUCUUCGGGGGUAGAGCACUGUUUCGACUAGGGGGUCAUCCCGACUUACCAACUCGAUGCAAACUACGAAUACCGAAGAAUGUUAUCACGGGAGACACACGGCGGGUGCUAACGUUCGUCGUGAAGAGGGAAACAACCCAGACCGCCAGCUAAGGUCCCAAAGUCAUAGUUAAGUGGGAAACGAAGUGGGAAGGCUCAGACAGCCAGGAUGUUGGCUUAGAAGCAGCCAUCAUUUAAAGAAAGCGUAAUAGCUCACUGGUCGAGUCGGCCUGCGCGGAAGAUGUAACGGGGCUAAACUAUGCACCGAAGCUGCGGCAGCGAUAUGUAAAUAUUGUUGGGUAGGGGAGCGUUCUGUAAGCCUGUGAAGGUGUGCUGUGAGGCAUGCUGGAGGUAUCAGAAGUGCGAAUGCUGACAUAAGUAACGAUAAUGCGGGUGAAAAACCCGCACGCCGGAAGACCAAGGGUUCCUGUCCAACGUUAAUCGGGGCAGGGUGAGUCGACCCCUAAGGCGAGGCAGAAAUGCGUAGUCGAUGGGAAACGGGUUAAUAUUCCCGUACUGGUGAUAAUUGCGAUGGGGGGACGGAGAAGGCUAGGCUAUCCGGGCGACGGUUGUCCCGGUUUAAGGAUGUAGGCAGGUGAAUUAGGCAAAUCCGGUUCACUAUAUGCUGAGGUCCGACGACGAGUCACUACGGUGAUGAAGUAGCUCAUGCCCCGCUUCCAGGAAAAGCCUCUAAGCUCUAGAUUAUCAUUAAUCGUACCCCAAACCGACACAGGUGGUCAGGUAGAGAAUACUCAGGCGCUUGAGAGAACUCGGGUGAAGGAACUAGGCAAAAUGGUGCCGUAACUUCGGGAGAAGGCACGCUGGCAUUAGGUGAAGUGAUUUACUCAUGGAGCUGAAGCCAGUCGCAGAUACCAGCUGGCUGCAACUGUUUAUUAAAAACACAGCACUGUGCAAACACGAAAGUGGACGUAUACGGUGUGACGCCUGCCCGGUGCUGGAAGGUUAAUUGAUGGGGUUAUCCGUAAGGAGAAGCUCUUGAUCGAAGCCCCAGUAAACGGCGGCCGUAACUAUAACGGUCCUAAGGUAGCGAAAUUCCUUGUCGGGUAAGUUCCGACCUGCACGAAUGGCGUAAUGAUGGCCAGGCUGUCUCCACCCGAGACUCAGUGAAAUUGAACUCGCUGUGAAGAUGCAGUGUACCCGCGGCAAGACGGAAAGACCCCGUGAACCUUUACUAUAGCUUGACACUGAACAUUGAGCCUUGAUGUGUAGGAUAGGUGGGAGGCUUUGAAGCGUGGACGCCAGUCUGCGUGGAGCCAACCUUGAAAUACCACCCUUUAAUGUUUGAUGUUCUAACGUUGCCCCAUUAUCUGGGGUGCGGACAGUGUCUGGUGGGUAGUUUGACUGGGGCGGUCUCCUCCCAAAGAGUAACGGAGGAGCACGAAGGUUGGCUAAGCAUGGUCGGACAUCAUGCGGUUAGUGCAAAGGCAUAAGCCAGCUUGACUGCGAGAGUGACGGCUCGAGCAGGUACGAAAGUAGGUCUUAGUGAUCCGGUGGUUCUGAAUGGAAGGGCCAUCGCUCAACGGAUAAAAGGUACUCCGGGGAUAACAGGCUGAUACCGCCCAAGAGUUCAUAUCGACGGCGGUGUUUGGCACCUCGAUGUCGGCUCAUCACAUCCUGGGGCUGAAGUAGGUCCCAAGGGUACGGCUGUUCGCCGUUUAAAGUGGUACGCGAGCUGGGUUUAGAACGUCGUGAGACAGUUCGGUCCCUAUCUGCCGUGGGCGUUGGAAGAUUGAAAGGGGCUGCUCCUAGUACGAGAGGACCGGAGUGGACGCACCACUGGUGUUCGGGUUGUCAUGCCAAUGGCAUUGCCCGGUAGCUAAGUGCGGAAGAGAUAACCGCUGAAAGCAUCUAAGCGGGAAACUUGCCUUGAGAUGAGUCUUCCCUGAC